rnacentral:rRNA from 1 species
GACGAACGCUGGCGGCGUGCUUAACACAUGCAAGUCGAACGGCAAGGCCCUGCUUUGGUGGGGUGCUCGAGUGGCGAACGGGUGAGUAACACGUGAGUAACCUGCCCGUGACUUUGGGAUAACUUCAGGAAACUGGGGCAAAUACCCGAAAGGAGCACCUGCUGCAUGGUGGGGGCUGGAAAGUUUCGGCGGUAGGGGAUGGACUCGCGGCUUAUCAGCUUGUUGGUGGGGUAGUGGCUUAACAAGGCUUUGACGGGUAGCCGGCCUGAGAGGGUGACCGGCGCCAAUGCGCCUGCGAGACGCCGCAGUCUGCUACGGUAGGCAGCGGUGGAGAGUCUUACACAGUGAUCGGACGCCUGUUGCGGCGACCCCGCGGUCGGGAUGCCGGCCUUCGGGUUGUAAACCGCUUUCCCCUGUGACGGAGCGUGAGUGACGGUAAUGGGUAAAGAAGCACCGGCUAACUACGUG